GACGAACGCUGGCGGCGUGCCUAACACAUACAAGUCGAACGAGGUCCAUGCAGUGGCAACACUGCGGAAGACCUAGUGGCGAACGGGUGAGUAACACGUGAGGAACCUGCCCCGAAGACCGGGAUAACCCUCCGAAAGGAGAGCUAAUACCGGAUACCCCCACCGGAUCGCAUGAUCUGGUGAGGAAAUGGAUUCCGCUUCGGGAGGGCCUCGCGGCCUAUAAGCUAGUUGGUGGGGUAACGGCCCGCCAAGGCAUCGACGGGUAGCUGGUCUGAGAGGACAGUCAGCCACGCUGGGACUGAGACACGGCCCAGACUCCUACGGGAGGCAGCAGUGGGGAAUCUUGCGCAGUGGGCGAAAGCCUGACGCAGCAACGCCGCGUGGGGGAUGAAGGCUCUCGGGUUGUAAACCCCUUUCAGCAGGGACGAAUCAAGACGGUACCUGCAGAAGAAGCCCCGGCUAACUACGUGCCAGCCGCCGCAGUAACAC
rnacentral:rRNA from 1 species